rnacentral:lncRNA from 1 species
GGGUGGCUGUUCUGGUCUAAUCAUACCUCCUCCUAUUGAGUUGGACCUUAGUGGUUGCUAUGUGUGUGUUGAGACUAGCCAUCAAGCUUAGGACUGUCCCCAUUAUUUGUUAAGGGCUACUCCUAUUUUAGUUGUGAGAUCUAGGGGUUCUACCAGGAGUCUAUGAGGAAGAGGUAGUAAAGCCUGUGAUAUUGGUCACAGGGCUAUUUAUCCAGUUGGUAUUCAUGGAUAGUGCUAUGUUAU